CACUAGGUGUUAGAGAGGUUUCCGCCUUUCAGUGCCGCAGCUAACGCAUUAAGCAUUCCGCCUGGGGAGUACGACCGCAAGGUUGAAACUCAAAGGAAUUGACGGGGACCCGCACAAGCGGUGGAGCAUGUGGUUUAAUUCGAAGCAACGCGAAGAACCUUACCAGGUCUUGACAUCCUUUGAACCUUUUAGAGAUAGAAGUUUUCUUUUGGGGGCCAAAUGACCAGGGGGGCCAGGUUGUUGUUCAGUUGGGUUGUGGGGAGGUGGGGUAAAUUCCGGCAAGGGGGCCAACCUUUUUUGUUGUUGCCCGCCAUUAAGUGGGCCAUUUAGGGGGGACGCCGGGGGCCAACCGGGGGGAAGGGGGGGAGGAGUUAAAUUCUUCUGCCCCUUUUGACCUGGGGUACCCCACUGGUUCCAAGGGUGGUACAAAGGGGUGCCAGACCCGGGGGGUUGAGUUAUUUUUUUAAACCAUUUUCCAUUUGGGAUGUAGGUUGCAAAUUGCAUACCUGAAGCUGGGAUUGGUUGGUAUUGGGGAUUCACCACGCCCGGUGAAUAAGUUUCCCGGCUCUGGUCCCCCCCCCCGUCCCCCCCUGGGGGGUUGGUACACCCCAAGCCCGUGAGCUAACCCUUCGGGGAGCCAGCCGUCUAAGCUGGACAGAUGACUGGGGGAAGUCGAACAAGA
rnacentral:rRNA from 1 species